rnacentral:misc_RNA from 1 species
AACGCACAUUGCGCCCGCCAGUAUUCUGGCGGGCAUGCCUGUUCGAGCGUCAUUUCAACCCUCAAGCCCCCCGUAGGGCCUGGCGUUGGGGGACGGCACCUCUCACCGGGUGCCGCCCCCGAAAGACAGUGGCGGCCACGCCGUCUGCCUCCUCUGCGUAGUAGAAACACCUCGCACUGGGACGCGGCGCGGUCAUGCCGUAAAACCUCCAACUUCUGAAGGUUGACCUCGGAUCAGGUAGGAAUACCCGCUGAACUUAA